CCUUUACAGAGAAAAUCCAGAGCUUUGUAAGCAAAAGUCUAGGGCUUCUUGGUCACCAUGGAAGAGCUAAGAUGUUUUUAUUUUUUAAUGUAGCCUAAUUGGAGGAUAGGGCUGAAUCAUUCAAGAGAAGGGAGGGAUCUAACCUGAGGAAAGAAGGACAGUCCCAAGAUUGGGAAGGGUGGGAAACUAUCAGACCCCACAAAUAGUGGGGCCUUGAGUGGCUCCCACACAGUGCCUUAGAGGGCUAGGACCUCAGAUGGGUGUUACCAACAUCACCAAGUGCUACAGUCCCAAGAGUAAAGGUAGGCUACUCUGUAGCUAAGUCUGGUUAGUAGAGAAGUUCAUCAUAAAGGAUGUCUGUCUACCUGGCCGAUGCUUGGAGACACCUGAGGAGGGACUGAAAAUGGCGUCAUGUGACUUACAGAGGAGACUGGCUGGAGGGCGAAGAAGGAUGAUGCCUUCCUCAUCAAAGGAAGCCGAUCCCGGAGGCUCCAGCCCUGGGAGUAAAUGAGAGAUGGAGGAACUGGAUUGUCCGGAUCCAGUUUUUACCAAAAUGAUGGGCCAGAGAAAAGAAGGAACCUUAGAGAGUCUGACCUAGUUACAUUUGCAUCCCAAGAAAAACGAGCUGUAAAAUUCCUCAGAAACACUCAGAGUCAUUUUCUGGCACAGAGAAGAGGAAGGGAGGGGGACACCAUGACACUCUUUUCAGCGUCCGAGAGAGACAAAAACUCAGCUGGAGAAUGUGGGGCGAUGGUAGAAGAAAGCUAGGGUCACACUUGGACCCUCUGGGAGAAAAGGAUGAAUAAAGGGGCCAGCCUGGCAAGGAGACACGAACCCAGGCAUCUGCACUAGCCGGAGAACCUGGCCACUUACGGUGCUGCUAGUUUCUGGGUAGGAAUGAUGGGUGUGCUCUGUGGUGGAGAAGAAAAAAAUCAGUAGGUUUUUCCAUCAGAUACUGACAUGUUCUUUAAGAUCAUGAAGUUUCCUUUCCUGGAAAAUACCUUCUUGUAACCCCACGCUGAUUUUACAACUCUCUCAUGAUUCGGCAUGGAAGCCCGGUUUCCCGAGUGUAGAUCCUGACCUCACUGAUGACCAGGUAUGUUACUAUUUCCAUUUGUUUCCUCACACAUAAAUUAAA